UGGGGAAUAUUGCACAAUGGGCGCAAGCCUGAUGCAGCCAUGCCGCGUGUGUGAAGAAGGCCUUCGGGUUGUAAAGCACUUUCAGCGGGGAGGAAGGCGUUAAGGUUAAUAACCUUGGCGAUUGACGUUACCCGCAGAAGAAGCACCGGCUAACUCCGUGCCAGCAGCCGCGGUAAUACGGAGGGUGCAAGCGUUAAUCGGAAUUACUGGGCGUAAAGCGCACGCAGGCGGUCUGUCAAGUCGGAUGUGAAAUCCCCGGGCUCAACCUGGAAACUGCAUUCGAAACUGGCAGGCUAGAGUCUUGUAGAGGGGGGUAGAAUUCCAGGUGUAGCGGUGAAAUGCGUAGAGAUCUGGAGGAAUACCGGUGGCGAAGGCGGCCCCCUGGACAAAGACUGACGCUCAGGUGCGAAAGCGUGGGGAGCAAACAGG
rnacentral:rRNA from 1 species